rnacentral:rRNA from 1 species
UACUCCUACGGGAGGCAGCAGUGGGGAAUAUUGCACAAUGGGCGCAAGCCUGAUGCAGCCAUGCCGCGUGUAUGAAGAAGGCCUUCGGGUUGUAAAGUACUUUCAGCGGGGAGGAAGGUGUUGUGGUUAAUAACCGCAGCAAUUGACGUUACCCGCAGAAGAAGCACCGGCUAACUCCGUGCCAGCAGCCGCGGUAAUA